rnacentral:rRNA from 1 species
ACAAUGGAGAGUUUGAUCCUGGCUCAGGAUGAACGCUGGCGGCGUGCCUAAUACAUGCAAGUCGAACGCGAGCACUUGUGCUCGAGUGGCGAACGGGUGAGUAAUACAUAAGUAACCUGCCCUAGACAGGGGGAUAACUAUUGGAAACGAUAGCUAAGACCGCAUAGGUACGGACACUGCAUGGUGACCGUAUUAAAAGUGCCUCAAAGCACUGGUAGAGGAUGGACUUAUGGCGCAUUAGCUGGUUGGCGGGGUAACGGCCCACCAAGGCGACGAUGCGUAGCCGACCUGAGAGGGUGACCGGCCACACUGGGACUGAGACACGGCCCAGACUCCUACGGGAGGCAGCAGUAGGGAAUUUUCGGCAAUGGGGGAAACCCUGACCGAGCAACGCCGCGUGAAGGAAGAAGGUUUUCGGAUUGUAAACUUCUGUUAUAAAGGAAGAACGGCGGCUACAGGAAAUGGUAGCCGAGUGACGGUACUUUAUUAGAAAGCCACGGCUAACUACGUGCCAGCAGCCGCGGUAAUACGUAGGUGGCAAGCGUUAUCCGGAAUUAUUGGGCGUAAAGAGGGAGCAGGCGGCAGCAAGGGUCUGUGGUGAAAGCCUGAAGCUUAACUUCAGUAAGCCAUAGAAACCAGGCAGCUAGAGUGCAGGAGAGGAUCGUGGAAUUCCAUGUGUAGCGGUGAAAUGCGUAGAUAUAUGGAGGAACACCAGUGGCGAAGGCGACGAUCUGGCCUGCAACUGACGCUCAGUCCCGAAAGCGUGGGGAGCAAAUAGGA